rnacentral:rRNA from 1 species
GUGGAUUAGAUACCCUAGUAGUCCACGCCGUAAACGUUGGGCACUAGGUGUGGGUCUCAACCAACGGGAUCUGUGCCGUAGCUAACGCAUUAAGUGCCCCGCCUGGGGAGUACGGCCGCAAGGCUAAAACUCAAAGGAAUUGACGGGGGCCCGCACAAGCGGCGGAGCAUGUUGCUUAAUUCGAGGCAACGCGAAGAACCUUACCUGGGCUUGACAUGUAGGGAAAAGCCGUAGAGAUACGGUGUCCUUCGGGGCCCUACACAGGUGGUGCAUGGUCGUCGCCAACU